rnacentral:tRNA from 2 species
GGGGGUGUAGCUCAGUUGGUUAGAGCGCCAGCCUGUCACGCUGGAGGCCGCGAGUUCGAGUCUCGUCACCCUCG